rnacentral:lncRNA from 1 species
CGACCCUGCCUCUGUUACUGAUUACUUACUUUACUAGCUUCCUCGCCUCCUACUAAGUUCAGUGUUCUAGCCUUUUGCUCACUAGUUCAAGUCUAUUAAGUCGUAGUUGGUUUCUCACCAGUACUGGCUAGCACAUCAGAUCCUAACACCGAGUCCUAUUCUUUGUAUUUCGAUUUUCAUUAUAGUAUGGAGGACAUUAAUUCCUUAUUAACAGGUCAUUCUUUAUUGAAAGUAAAAGUACGAGAAGCGCUCGGGAAGUCCUAGUUUAGAGUUAAAGUAUUGUUAGCUUAGCCCGGGUUUCCAAAUGAAAAGGAUGUGAUUUACCUUAUACCUACCAUAGAAGAGAAGGUAUUAUAUCGGCGGGCACAUCUAAGUCAUAAAGCCAAGCCAAGUAUGUUCUAGAAGGAUAUGGGCGACAGGGAGGACAUCACUGUCAAUCUGGUCCUGCUAAUCUCCCAUAUCAAUGGAGACUAGGCACCUAUUGCUAACGGGAGGGCUUGUUAACCCCAGCGACCUUCAAUAAAAAGGCUGGGCAUGCGGCAUUAACAGAAGGAAAUGCCCAAUAGUUUGUUGGCCUAUGACCUGAGCUUCCUAAACUCAGAGGGUAAGUCCCAGAUUGGAAUUCCAAUCAAAAACCAUGUGCAACAUUGACUUAGGUGCUUUCUUUCUAGUCUAGUUCUUAGAAAAGAGCGAUUUGUUAAUAUGUGUAGGCUCGGCUCGGUAGGCAUACGAAGAUGGUGCACUCCGCUUUGGUUGAAACUUCUCCUAAACUAGAUAGCUGGGAAUGCAUUAGGUUAUGGUUAUAUAUAGGCUGCAAAAGUGCAUAUUACCCUUUUUGUUAUCUGUUGUGAAAAUGGUAGGCCCUUAGACAGACUGUUAUCGCUUGUUAGUAAGGGUAAGUAUGGGUAGCAACCUAAUUCCUAUGUGAUAGCCUUCGUUCCCUGGUCUGUCCGCACAUCGGUUGUAUUUUCACUCGUUUUCCGGGGGGAAACUAACAUGAGAAUAUCUUUCCCUUUCUAUGUGAGAGGAGACCAAAAGAAGUGGGGAUUUGAUUGAUGGAAGGCCUUUUCUCUUUGGAAAGUCUAGCUCAGUUCUAUGCUCGCCUCUAAAGAGAAAUGCUUUAUAUGAUCUUAUUGUAACAUUGCACCUUAUUAUUCAUUCUAGAAUUGAUAGAGUUGAUUUCCAUUUCCCGUAUGUUGCUGCUUUCUUUCAGUCCUACCCUUCCAUUCUUUGCAUUCCCUCAGGCCCGGAUUCUCUUUGACUCCUUAUGGCAUCUGCUUUCUUUGGUUGCUGGAUUCCCACGAGAAAUGGCUGCGGUAAUAAGGGUUAAUGUUGACUCCAAUAACCUGGGAGCCAGGUUGACUUAUAAGAUAGAUUCCAUGUCAAGUAAGUAUAUUCUAUAUUUAAGUGUUGUCAAGUAAGUAGAUCUAUAUUUAAGUGUACUUAUAAGAUGGAUUCCAUUCAAGUUCAAUCUGGAACGCUGCCCUUCAUCAUCUGCGCCUUCAAACGGGUUCCCUUCCGGCUGUUUCCUGAAAAGCAAAGAGUUCAUUCGACAAAAAAGAAAGAGGAUUCUUCGCAACAAAACAAGUCACCCUUUCCUCGCUUGAGAGCUAAGAAGAUGCAUCCCUCGUUCAAUCCCCUACUAUGCUUCUGCUUUCUUCGUCUAUGCCUAUGCCUCUAGGGAUGGAGGAAAUGGACUUACUUCUUCAGGCUCCUAGCGCCUCUCCUUUUCUGGAAUCGUUGAUACAGUCAAUGUGGAGUUAACUUCAUUUUGGAUAAAAGAAAAUCACCAUUGUAUUUGCAGAAGCACCCUCCAGGGAAGUACUACAAGAGUCUCCCACUGAUACUCGAAUUCUAGCAAAACAACCAGAACUAUUGUGUUUUUUUGCCCCUCUCGCUUUCGCUCCUCACCCCACUCUAGCGGUCAAGUUACUCCGCCCCUUUCCCGCGGGGGGAAUAUAAGGAUUCGAUUGCCCUUGAGACAUGGAAUCUUAUUGGAUUAUCGGUUGAAAGCCCCCAUACAAAAUGUUGACAAAACCCGUUCAAAUGGCUUCUUUUUCGUCGGUGCCGGACAUAGACAUUUUUCGAUAAUCAACCUUUUUAUCUGACUUUCUUCUGCAAGGAAAGCGCUUAGCCUUGGGUUCAUAGAAGAAGGUAAGUUCGUUCCGAGUUCAUGCGACUAGUAUGAGCAGCUUUAUAUUCAUUCCAUUUUCUCGAUCUGAUCCUGAGUCCAAUUAUUGCGAGUGUAAGCCAAGCGCCUUCUUUUAAUCGCAAUGAAAGCUUUUUCAAAUAAGAUCUUUCCUUCCCAACGGUAGAAAGCCAAGGGAAGCAAGCCAGUUCCUUUUCUUCGGUCAGUCAUUCCCGGCAAGCAAUCAAGCAUUCCAUAUAUAGCCCUUCGCUCUUAGCUUCGGGUUCUUGCCACGUCUUUAACUCGCCUAUUACCGGACCCUUAACUCAACUACUUUACUGCCUCCUAACGCCGAGCAUAUUGUCUCCUAUCGUUUACCAUCUUCGGACUCAGUCCUAUCUCUUUCUAUAUUGAUUAAUUAGACUGUUAAGAAAAUGAAUCCUAAAAGAAUGCCCGAGUAAGCGAUAGCAGACUUUUCGGCACCCAACUCGGUGAAAGAGGUUGUCUCGUCCAUAUACUGAGUCGUCUGAUGUCUCCUAAGCGUCUUCCCUAAGCGUUUGGUUCAAAAGAAAAGGGUCUGCCACCACACCACAGAAUCGGAUGCUAUUGCUCAAUGGAAUUGUGUAACCGAAUCGAAUGUCUCUCCUUAUCCAUAAGCCCAGAGAUCUGAGAGAAUAGUAAUAAAUAAGCCUAGCCUAGGCAACAGAAAGAGAAUGAAUAGGAAGAGAAGACUAGAGAAGCUAAUAAUAAUCAUCAUCAUUUGACAGUUCGAGAAUAGGGGGCAACUUGGAGACAACAUAAGACAAGAAAGAAAGCAAUUCGGUAAAAGAAUCCUGAUUUUUCCAAGAGAAGAGUAUUCUUUAAGAAAUUGUUAACUGUUCUCCCAGCAAGGGGAAUCCUAGAGGGGGAAGAGGGGACAGCACUAGUUUCUAGAUUCUUUCUCUAUUAAUCAAGCCUCCGGUCUUUCUCUAAAUAGCGACGCUUCCACUUCCGGGCUUACCCCUUUUGUUUAGUUAGAUUGAAGGCUUCCUUCCCUAGAGGAGGGACGGUACUCUACAUUCUCACUAGUCAGCAGCAAAGUCAGUAAUAGAAAACGGGAAGGGCACUGAUGCUUCACAGGAAGGCCUUUACUAUCGCUUUCUUUUCGCUUCACCGGCAGUAGAUGAUCAAACUUAUGCCACGGAGUCGGCUUCUGUAUAGGAGACUUCUUCUAUCACUGAAUAAUCUCUGUAUAGGAGACUUCUUCUAUCACUGAAUAAUCUAGGGAAAAAUCGUCUAGCUAUCGCAGCAUCAGGAGCAGUCCUUUCCUUUUCUUCGGUUGUCUUCCUUCCGCAGGAAAGGUGCCUUUCCGGCCAUAAUCCUACGGACAAAUGGAAACGAAGUGUUUAGCACAGGAAAUUCAUCAAAGAUCAGAUGCUAGAUUCGAAUAAGGAGCGGGCAAUUGGAUAUAAGAAUCUUUCCUAAGCCCGGAGAAUAGUAGCUAGAGGGAGAAGAGCGUUCCCAGCGAAGAGUUUUUCCUUUCAUCCUCGGGGAUGGCACCUGCCUUUCUUUAGAUGACAUUUCUAUCACUAUCAAUAGUCGUGGAGCUUCAAAGCUUUUCUUUGAAGAGGGCUAUCUGUUCGAGAGUAGGAAUCGACUCUAAGAGCAGAGUCCGCGGCAAACUCGAAGAGAAGAGUGCUAACUAUAAGAUUCCACGAUGGCACAAGUCUUUCUUAAGGCCUUGUAACCUAUCAAUAAAUAGGCUUUUCUCGUCAUCAGAAGCAGUCACUGAAUAGUAUGAUGCCGCCAAUCCGCUUUUCCUGAAUCUUUCAAUUUGGGGCGAGUGAUCAAUCAAUAGUCGAGUAGUUUGCGAACGUUUCCUGACUUCUCGUCGUCUAUGGGAUAACUUAGAGCCUUUCCCCAAGCAAAGAGUGACUUAUUACUUGCGGCUUCAAAAAAAAGAACAUGUCACUUUUCAUCUUAUUCAAAAAACAUCAAAUAACGAAAAUCGAAUCGGAGACUGGCAUGACCUAACUCUCACUUCUAUAACCAAAAGUCGGUAACAUGUGGUUUCAGUGGAUUUAUUACCCAGGAAUCAUCGGUAUAAUGGAAAGUCUCAAAUCCGGCCAGGCCUUUCGGGCAGCAAGGGAACGAAGCAGUAAAGCAAAGACAGGUCCUUUAUUUUUGAGACAAUAAAAGGUGGAGACAAGAAAAGUGCUAUGGAAAGACAGAACGAUUUGUCAAGUAACGGGAACAUCCGCCAGAGCGAGAUGGUCAUUUCAGGCCAGUUUUGAGUUUAGGAGCCGACAAAGGCAUAAGCCUAGCUAGGAACUUCAGGAGCUAUAGUCGAAGAGUUCAACCUGCCCGUCACUAUUUCAGGCAGGCCUAGAGCCUAUCAGAGUUUUACCGAAUAGCUGACUGAGCUUCGAAGUGCAGGCUUGACCCGGCAACAUCGGAAGCUAAUUAGCGCGUAGGCAGCGCAGCGCCGUCUCUUGUACCGUUUUAUGGAUCUCAUUUGAAUUCAGACUAAUCCAAAAAGGAAGUAACCAGAAGUCGAAGCCUGUAGAAAGACAGAGUUUUCAAUGGCAGCUAGGCUCGUUAGGAAAAAACACUUAUGGCGUUAGGAAGCGGGGUCGUGACACCGCCGUCUUGGAUCUGACUCUUCAAAAGAAACCUAGAUGAGCCCAGAGGUAGACGCCCUUGUCCAGCCUGCUUUAUCACUUUCCCAUUUUGGCUUAUUCGAUACUGCAGUUUGGCACCCUCUUACCUCUUUCCUAAUCCACAGGAGGGCCUCUUAAAGGGGUUGGUUUCCAGUUGAUCACUAACCUUGGCAUUCCCCUUUCUUGCUCCUUUCAGUUAUUGACGUAUUUUUCAGCGCUGGACCAUGGACUCUUACAAAGCCGGGCCCUUCUUCAAGAAAGAACCAACUUAUUACUACGGUAAUCUAAACUCUUUAUUUAGUGUGGGGUCGUCGAAACCCUUGCGAUAAGGUAGCCGAAGUGCUUCCCAUGUGUUACGUUCCCCAGUGGUUAGGGCUUUUCAAAACCCUCGCGGGACUUCUUCUAUUUUAUCAGCCUUAAUACUAGUCACCUUAGUCGUAAGUAGUAACCUUAGUCUUAGUGGGCAGGGUCAUUCUCAGUCUUGGUAUUUCGUCCUCUCUGCUGGGCAUCGAUUGCCUCCUUUUCUUGUCUGAGUUGCCUGAUCCUCGAGCUUGGGUAACAAUUCUAUUCUGACUCACUUGCCUCUUCCGACUUCAAAAGGCCUGAUGGUUGAAAGCCUAAGUAUGGCUUGCAUACUCCUGAUCUUCCAUAAGUGGUCAAAGGCAUAGUUUCUCUCUUUUUGAAAAGGAUAUGAAGCCUCGAACUCAGUGCUGAGUCUGAAGCGGAGAGCCAUCCACACGAGAUGCCUGUUCUUUGCACGUCUCCCAUCCAAAUAUCUGGCUGUUCCAAACCAUUUCCAAGGAGGCUCCAUCUCUUUUCUUUGGUUGACCAACGAAACCAUCUAUACAAAAUAGGUGCGGUUUCAAUCUUCGGUGAAUCAUGAAUGCUAGGUUACGAAAGGUAAGGAAGCAGGUUGGUCAUCAAAAUCCAAGUAAUCCACUGGGCCGAGGAACAAACUACAAUACAUUAGCAGAUAGAAGUACCAAGGUGCGUCGCGUAGUAUAUAAGAGAACGGCUGCAUUGAGUAGUGAUCCUUAGGCUUAGACUUCACUCAUGCAGUUUUUGUGCCGGGGAAGGAUAGCAGGCAGAAAGACAGAGCGGUGCCUCGUUGCAUCUGAUACUUUCCUGAAGGCGUCGUAAGGAGAUUCCAACUUCGCCAUUUAUUGCAGUUUCUUUUUCUUUUGCAAACCACUCUUUCUAGCUCGGAUGCUAUUGCUCAAUGGAAUUGUGUAACCGAAUCGGAUUUCCAUCAGUGUUAAGAAGAGUCAUGCGGAGGGGUCGUCAUGUCCAGAAAGAAGAUAGUAGGAGUAGCCUUGGGCCGGAACUCGAGGACUAUGUGAUACCCCAUUUCCAGUCUAGUCUACCUCUAUUCAUCCUUUGUUUUCGGAGCAGUAGAGACAAAAGCUUUAGCCGCUUAAGAUGAUGGAGCGCUUACAAAUCAUACUAAUCAUGCCCAGCACCAAAGCAAGAAACUAUUGCAAAGAUGCCAUCUUGCCCUACCAAGGAAGACCGAGAAGACGAAUGAAUCCAAACCAGGGCCCUGGAAAGCACAACCGUUUCCUGAAGAGAAAGAAAGAAAGACUGACGGAAUUUCUCUAUAGCAGGGAAGCAAAUGCAGCUCGAUUCUCAAGGGCCCCCAUAAAGAUCUGCUUUCGAGAUCGGUAGUCUGGUAUGUGUAAGUUAGACCAGCCUUACAACUUCUAAAGGAGUUCCAUGAAAACCAAGUCAUCAUUCAUCUUCCAUAGCUUUAGUAGGCUUCAGCCAAAGCAUCAACCGUUCUGUUUCGGAAAGUAUAGAGAGAUCCUAAAAAGCUUACCUUCCACAUCCUUGUGAGCAGUGUGAACCAUAGAAGUCCACCCUAGGUGUAUAGGAACCGCCUACCUCAGCCGUCCUAUUGAUUGAGAGAACAGAGAUUUCAGACAUGCAGAUGAAAGGUUCCACCUAAUUCCAAGUCUACUUUCUUGUUUGUAUUUGCAGGGUAAGGUUAGUUUCUUUCUGGGGACAGUGAAAUCCAGAGUCACAGUAUGAACAAGAGGUAAGGAAUUGUACGACCGCGCAAUCAACGUCAUUGGAGACGAGUUCUCAUAAAUAACCCUAAAGAAAGGCGAGAACUGGAUAAAAUGAGGAGAAUGUCAGAUCUCUGGGUAGCAGCUAUCCUACCAGCGCCGAAAAAGAAUGAACACUGAGCCUCGGGAGAGAGUCUACUAGAAGUCACAUCAGAAAGUGAAAGGAACAUUCCAUUCAAAAAACAUUCAUCCAGAGAAUGGAAUGCCUUUCGGGUUAGAGGCGAGGACCGUGCUCGAAUCUAUUCUUGCCUCAGUGAGAGUGAGCUUUCGACGUUGUGCUUAGUUACUCGGGUCGCUUCCCUUUCGCUUGAAGCUACGGGCUUACGUACGCUAUGCUUGGCUUGCUCAGCGUACUACUUCAUUUCCUUUCCGAUAGACUCUUUGAAUGGUUCCAACCCAGUGACAGCCGUAGCUGAUUCAUUUGUUGCUCCGCCUGGCUAGUUGUCUUUCUUCUGGCUUACGUUUACGUUGGUCCGGACCUGGCCUUUCACCGCCUCUCUCAUUGGAAUUUAGGGCUGGCCUCGGGCAGGGGAGAGCACGAGCUGAAACAACUCUAUCGAAGGCAGGGCACGCAGCUGCUUCGUCUCGAGGAUCCUAAGUUCUAUCCAUUAGUUAGGCAUUCGAUUAAGGACACUUUAAGUAAGGCUAAGGAAAGUAGUACGAGAGGCUGUUCCCAGAGUUCCAGAGAUCGUAUAUUAUUCUUUUGCAUAUCUGAAAGUAGUCGAGUAGUCUAGUAGCUGACAGUGCCAGUAGUAUACGCUUAUUCUCUGUGAAGGAUGUUUGGUGCUUUCUCAUGGAGUUCCUCCGUUGUUCUUUGAGCCGUCUCUAGCUGGUAGGAAGGAAGAGAGUUCAGGUCUGACCCUGCCAAGCCCAUCUAUCUGUCUUACGCAUAAAACAAGCUAAACCGCUUCCUGUUCAAGCAGUCGUGAGGUAGCUCAAUAAACCUAGCAAACACCGGCUAGAUAAGUAGGUAGGGCAGGCUGCUAACUCAGGGGAUUCUUUGUCGAUAGUAGCGAAAGUAGCUGAUGAAGAGAAACCACGGCACGAUGCUUAAUCGAAUGAAAGGGGCUAUGUUGUGCGCUCAUGCCGCUAAGAGGGAUGAGUUCCAUCUCCGUCUGCAUACUCCUCUAGAUCAGUUGUGUGGCGACUGCCGCUCACCCAGUUCUAUCUGGCAUGCAAGAGCUUGCUAGUGUAUGGAACGGCUCUCUCUCUUGGCUUUCCGACCUACUUACUCUUCAUUACUGCCACUCUCUAGACGACCAUCUUGUCUGACUCGUCGAGUGGGAGAAUGAGGAUUCUAACAACUCCGUUUGUGAAGCAGAUAGUUCACUGUGCUUAUUCUAUCUAAAUAGAGAGUCAAGCCCACUCAUGUUUCCACUCUCUUUUCAUUACUAAGAUGUCGGAGAAGCUAAAUCGACGUCGUACUCAAAACUCAUUUCAAGCCUUGUAAAGAUAUCCUACUACGGGACAAACAUCGUGAGAAGUUGCCAAGAAAGACUUCCUUUGCACGAGAACGACAAUAAGUAAACAUCUGGAAUUUGAUGGGUCCGCCCUCGUUCUGUAUCUUAGUUCUUUCGAGAAUAAUUGAACGUCUCUGGGUUUCGUGGAUUAGCAUCUCGAGGUCAGGGCAUAAAGAAAUAGUCUUGGUAGCACCAGCUCCGCUCUUCAGCUGGUCCAUAAGCAAGAUCUGUAGGUAAAUGACCGGCCGGCUACGGACCGAAAAGACCUAAAGGAGUCUCCUCUCAGAUCCGGGGGACCUCUCUCCCGCACGUGUCUAUCUCCUGUCAAGUAUGUUCCCCAGACAAAGAAGGACGAGGUCGUAAUCUCGGAAAAGAGAGAAAGAAGAUCACCUUAUCGUUCCAAAUGUAACUCCCGAUGGAUCGACUACUAUUCGAAAUAGAGUAAGGCGGAGAACUGUUGUUCAUUGGAGCGCCGGAGGAGGUUGUUCCCAUCAUUGAAGUCUGAGUUUGGGACUGAGCUCUUCGAAUGAUUAAGACGAGAAAAUCGUUUCGUUGGAAAAACCAUCGUACAUAAUCUUGACUUUCUUUCGCCCUUCUCAGGAUAGAUCGAAAAGGUUUAGUUACUUUAUGAAAUGCUCUCCUUUCAAAAGCUGCGCAAGGCGGCCCCCCCAGAACAAAACCACCCGGAUUUGACCCCGCCCCGCUUACUCUUCAUUUGUUGAAAGGGACCCGAGGGCUUCUCAACAGGUGAUUUAAAGAAUAAACCAUGUGAUCCUAGAACUCUGAAGCUAAUCCGUCUCCCAGGGUACUCAAAGCCUCUCUCUCCCCUAGUAGGAUGAGCUAUUUGAUUGAUUCAGGGCGCUGCGAAGUACAUAAGGGGCUUCCUUUUCCUGACCGUAAAAUCCAUUGUCAUCCUAUUUGAGCUAUGCUAAUGGGUUUGGUUUCAGAGGACCCCAACCAGCGAUAACCUCUAGGGGUCGCACUCUGUCCCGCAAAGUCAACUCCGUACGGAUUUCAUUGCCUGAUCAAGCUGCAGAUCCUUCUCUUGAAACUUACACUAAUGAUUCUGGUUUGACUUGAUUCUUUCACUUCAACUCCCUUUCCGUUAACGCCAAGGAAAACUGGAAUCUCAUCUAUCCAUCUUAUAUCAAUUAAGGCAGGUCAACUCCCUUUCUUGACUUGGAAUCCAUUGGUACUGAUCUGGGCUAAAGAGUGUCCUCUCCUAUCCUUGAAGUCCUGAUCCUGUUUAAGAAUGAAUGGAAUCUAUCUCCUCGCCUCUUGCUCUGUAACUCCGGUAGGGAACUUGCUCUGUUACUCAUAAGAUAAGAUUGAGAGGCAGACGAACCCCAUACAAAAGGAGACUCUCUUCAUGCCCCAACUGGUAAAAUACCCUUAACAUCUGUGUGGUUGGAGUGCUUGUGUUAAGCUAUGAGUAAAUAGAGAAUAUAGGACCUGUACAAGUUAUUACAUUGAACUCGUUUAUAAGUUUUCUGAUAAAAAUACUGAAUAUCAUCUCUUUGAACCACCACUCGGGAAAGCAGUAAAGUAUACCAUUCUCGUUGUUGAAGCUCUGUUGAAGGUUGCUCAUAGUAGAGUACGCCUCCCUUAUCGCUCUGUGAACCCCACAUGAGUCUUGUUCUGCUGCUCUCGCUCUAGUCUAGGUAUUCUAGAAAGAAGUGACCAACCCCACUGUAUGCGUUAUCAGGAAAUGCUGCUUUUGCUCGAAAGUAAGCAAGAGAGAGGGAUCGGAAGAAACUUACUCAUUAGCCUAGCUAGGCAGAGGGGCGGGGCAAUUCCAUUAUUCUAUCGUUAACAGGAUAUCGUUAACAGGAACAAGAGACAGAGGAGCAAUCCAGAGUUCUUAAAGAAUAAAGUCAUAAUUAAGUGUAAGUUGCUAGAGGCAGAGGAGAGUCAGAGUAACGCUUGUCAGCAGUAAACUAUAAGGGAGUUGUUGCCUUACUUCUAUUAAGGAAAGUGAUCUUAAGGCGAGAAAUCAGUCAACUAGAUCCAUCCCUAUUCCUAUAUUAAUUACUUUAUAUGCUUUGGGGUACUCUAAAGUAGAAGAGAUCUAUCCAUAUUCUUCUAUUAAUUACUUUAUAUGCUUGUUUGAUUACUUUAUAUGCUUGUUUGUUGGGUGCCUAGUUUCAUAGAUGUCGGUGCCCAUCCAGUGUUUUACUCGGAAGUUAACAGUGUUGUCGGGUCUAAUACCUUGGAAAAAACAUAGCAAAUGGAUAAUCUCUCCUCUGAUCUUUCCUCUGAUCUUGCUAAUCUAACUCUGUAAACUCCCAAUCUAUCUUCUCUGGCAACAACUACUGAUGCAACAGCUUCCCGAACCAACUUCUUUUGUUUGAGCACCCGAAACCAGACUUAAAACAGCGGAUUCUCGAGUUGACAACACAGAUGACUUGAGAACUGCUUCCUCACAAGAUCUAGCUUCUGAUCGAGUAGACCUAACUGGCACACAAAGAGAUGAUACUGAAGGACUUAGGGUUUUAGAAGCACCUCUCUCGUCGACAAGGGAAGGAGCUACUGCACCGUGAUUAACUAAUUCAAAACCGAUUGCUACCGGUGGAUCUGGCUCCGCGGAAUGAUCCUUAUUUAUAAUACAUCUUCUGCUGUAACUUGUAUACUAGCUUAAAGACAAGAAGGGUUAUCGGCAUCUUUACCUGCCCCCGAACUCGGAUACAAGGGGAAAGCCCGACCCUAACUCUUAUAAGUGUGAACUGAACCCCUACCCGACCUCUCUACUUGAAGUUCAGAAUUGCUAUCAAACCCGGUAGUCCUGUGAGAGUUGAGUCUAGGAAAUUCUAGUAUAGGGCCUGCAAGUGUAGUUCAAUUAAGUAAAGAAUUCCUUGUUUCAAGGUACGUUCUUGCCCCUUUAAGUAGUAGUAUAGUCCCCCAACAUUAGCUUCAUCUUUCUUUCGAGCACCCGUACUCUACGACAACAAAUAAGGAUUCAAGUUUAGUAGGAACAGGAAAAGAUUUGAGUGCAGAAACAAACAGAGGAUAUCUUGGUGCAGAAGCUUUGUAAGUGGAAGACAAAAGGAAAAACACUUUAUUUGCGAGCGCAGAAGGAGAGGAAGUAUUAGUUGC